UCGCAACGGCCUCCCUCUGUUAUUUUAACACCUUUAUCCUGAUUCUGCCGAAGGCAGAGGUCAAGUCUGCAGUGAUGUGAAUACCACAUGUAACUGUUCCAGCCCAUCUGCCAGUCACAACACUGUGAGUAAUGGAAGCAGCUUCCAUGACCGCUUCAGGCCCCAGCCAGACACGCGGGAUCAGAGACGCACUUCCGGUUUGUCUGUGGCAACACUACCCAGGGCACGGGCCGUCCUGAUUUCCUACUUUGAAGGGAAAGCAGCCAAUGAGGCCAGGUUAGAGGAAGCGAAGAUUACGGGAGUAUAAGAUGACCCCGAACUUUAGUUCUGAAUGCUGGUACCUCCUGAGGAUGACAGGUAGGGCUCUGGAACUUUAUUUCCAUCCAUUGGUAUCUGAAGGUUGGAACAGCCUUUCCAACAGAAACGGUGGGAAGAGGUGGUGGUUUGGUCCCCAACUAGACAACGAGCAGGCUCUCUGCUUCUUUACCAGCUAAAUAGACCAUUGUGAAUGGACCUGGGAAUUCCUAGUCACAACUUAAAAUGUUUUGUGGGAAACAUUCCGCAGCAGAGAGCCUGGAGGAAGCUCGGCCAUGUCAACCCAUGAGCCUAGAGAACACAGGCUGGGGCAGACCCCGGGAAAGGACUCUAUGUGUGCUGCCUGAGAAAAGCCAUCCCCGUGCUGGGUGCAGCUGCUCUGGGGUCACCCGUGUUGCUGUCAGAAGUCCCUCGCCCUUGAUCUGUAAAUAAGCUCAAUAAAUAUAUUGGUUCCCCAAGGC